CAGGAUUGGAAGGAAAGACGUUGAUGCUCGUGGCCUUCUGACCUGCACCAUAUUGCAAACCAACGGCCGUAAAAACAGAGCUAUCUAUGUGCAGGAGAAAAGCAGGGCUCCUGAGUCCACGGAGGUGUCAGACGGCCUGGUGGUGCCAGGCGAUCAGGUGUACAUCAAGGUGUACAGGCGAAAGUGGCACGAGUCAAGACGAGAGGGACCCUAUAAGGUGGUGCGAGCAACACCGACGGCUGUCCAAGUGGAAGGGAGCACGACGUGGUACCAUUUAAACCACUGCACCAAGCUAUACCAACCAAGGGGACCCUCCAGCUGAGACGAGCCAUCCAUGAGGACCACGCCAGCCGAGACGAGUCAUUCCUGAGGGCUAUAAUCGAGGGAGCCAGAUCGUGCGGGAGGACAUCCAUCCAGGAGGCAGGCUAUGAGGAAGGGGUGAGAUGAGCGCCCUCCUCCAACAUGUGACGUGCCAAGUCACCACCUCGUUUCGGCAAAAGAAGCCCCUCAUCACAAAGGGUCCCUCCAGAUGACAUCGUGCUGAUCAUCGGCGGGUGAUCGAAGAAGGGACUGAAGAUGGCCAACACCGUUCUUACCGAGGCACAGUAAUCCUCUGGACGGUGAUGAUGUGAGCAGAAACAUUGCUCCCGGCCUUGCCACACACCGAAUCACUGCCCAUAACACGUUCCCCACUUCCCCGUGCCCAUUCUUCAGGACAAGCAUGCAUCAAAAUCCCCACGAACUUAAUCUUUGAACUUCUUUCGGAAAAUGAAGACGGUGAAAUGACGGGUCUAAGAGACAUUAUUAUUUGUUUUGGGGGUUUGGGACCCCCAAAAGGGGGAAAUAUAUUGUAAAAUGAUUCUUGUCCUGUGAACUCCAGAGUACCUUUUGUUCUGUGAAAGUCAGUUGAACUCAGGCCUACGUGACUUAGGGGGAGGUCAUCGUGACCGAAGUUAUACAAAAUGUGUUCCAGAUGUUAUGUGAUUUCAAAAUGUCCUGCCAACAGGUCCAAGGAAGGACGAUGUUUUGGUAAUCCACGUCAUUGUUAUUGUUCACUGGGUCUAUUUAAGGGUGAACGGAAUAAACGGGGUAGCCCUUUUCCCUCAACUGCA